CCCCAUAUAGCUCAGUUGGUAGAGCAUGAGAUUCUUAAUCUCAGAGUCGUGGGUUCGAACCCCACACUGGGCA